GGAGAGAUGGCCGAGAGGUCGAAGGCGGUCGCCUGCUAAGCGACUGUACGGGCUAAAACCCGUACCGUGGGUUCGAAUCCCACUCUCUCCGCCA
rnacentral:tRNA from 1 species